rnacentral:miRNA from 1 species
UCUGCUCAUACUCCAUGGUUCCU